CCAGACUCCUACGGGAGGCAGCAGUGGGGGAUAUUGCACAAUGGGGGGAACCCUGAUGCAGCGACGCCGCGUGGGUGAAGGAGCGUUUCGGCGCGUAAAGCCCUAUCGGCAGGGAAGAAGAAAUGACGGUACCUGAAUAAGAAGCACCGGCUAAAUACGUGCCAGCAGCCGCGGUAAUACGUAUGGUGCAAGCGUUAUCCGGAUUUACUGGGCGUAAAGCGCUCGUAGGCGGUAUGUCAAGUCAAGGGUGAAAUCCCCGCGCUCAACGUGGGAACUGCCUUUGAAACUGGCAAACUGGAGUGUGUGAGAGGAUGGUGGAAUUCCAGGUGUAGGAGUGAAAUCCGUAGAUAUCUGGAGGAACAUCAGUGGCGAAGGCGACUAUCUGGCACAUAACUGACGCUGAGGAGCGAAAGCGUGGGUAGCAAACAGGAUUAGAUACCCCCGUAA
rnacentral:rRNA from 1 species